GAUGAACGCUGGCGGCGUGCCUAAUACAUGCAAGUCGAGCGAACGGACGAGAAGCUUGCUUCUCUGAUGUUAGCGGCGGACGGGUGAGUAACACGUGGAUAACCUACCUAUAAGACUGGGAUAAAUUCGGGAAACCGGAGCUAAUACCGGAUAAUAUUUUGAACCGCAUGGUUCAAAAGUGAAAGACGGUCUUGCUGUCACUUAUAGAUGGAUCCGCGCUGCAUUAGCUAGUUGGUAAGGUAACGGCUUACCAAGGCAACGAUGCAUAGCCGACCUGAGAGGGUGAUCGGCCACACUGGAACUGAGACACGGUCCAGACUCCUACGGGAGGCAGCAGUAGGGAAUCUUCCGCAAUGGGCGAAAGCCUGACGGAGCAACGCCGCGUGAGUGAUGAAGGUCUUCGGAUCGUAAAACUCUGUUAUUAGGGAAGAACAUAUGUGUAAGUAACUGUGCACAUCUUGACGGUACCUAAGCAGAAAGCCACGGCUAACUACGU
rnacentral:rRNA from 1 species